GACGAACGCUGGCGGCGUGCUUAACACAUGCAAGUCGAACGGAAAGGCCCUGCUUUUGUGGGGUGCUCGAGUGGCGAACGGGUGAGUAACACGUGAGUAACCUGCCCUUGACUUUGGGAUAACUUCAGGAAACUGGGGCUAAUACCGGAUAGGAGCUCCUGCUGCAUGGUGGGGGUUGGAAAGUUUCGGCGGUUGGGGAUGGACUCGCGGCUUAUCAGCUUGUUGGUGGGGUAGUGACUUACCAAGGCUUUGACGGGUAGCCGGCCUGAGAGGGUGACCGGCCACCUUGGGACUGCGAUACGGCCCAGACUCCUACGGGAGGCAGCAGUGGGGAAUAUUGCACAAUGGGCGGAAGCCUGAUGCAGCAACGCCGCGUGCGGGAUGACGGCCUUCGGGUUGUAAACCGCUUUCGCCUGUGACGAAGCGUGAGUGACGGUAAUGGGUAAAGAAGCACCGGCUAACUACGUG
rnacentral:rRNA from 1 species